rnacentral:rRNA from 1 species
UACAGAGGGAUGCUACCGGGCGACCGGAUGCGGAUCUCGAAAGCCUGUCCCAGUUCGGACUGGAGUCUGCAACCCGACUCCACGAAGUUGGAUUCGCUAGUAAUCGCGCAUCAGCCAUGGCGCGGUGAAUACGUUCCCGGGCCUUGUACACACCGCCCGUCAAGCCAUGGGAGCCGGGGGCGCCUGAAGUCCGGGACCGCGAGGACCGGCCUAAGGCGAAACUGGUGACUGGGGCUAAGUCGUAACAAGGUAUC